rnacentral:rRNA from 1 species
AUUGAACGCUGGCGGCAUGCCUUACACAUGCAAGUCGAACGGUAACGGGCCUUCGAGUGCCGACGAGUGGCGCACGGGUGAGUAAUACAUCGGAACGUGCCCGAUCGUGGGGGAUAACGAGGCGAAAGCUUUGCUAAUACCGCAUACGAUCUACGGAUGAAAGCAGGGGACCGCAAGGCCUUGCGCGGACGGAGCGGCCGAUGGCAGAUUAGGUAGUUGGUGGGAUAAAAGCUUACCAAGCCGACGAUCUGUAGCUGGUCUGAGAGGAUGAUCAGCCACACUGGGACUGAGACACGGCCCAGACUCCUACGGGAGGCAGCAGUGGGGAAUUUUGGACAAUGGGCGCAAGCCUGAUCCAGCCAUGCCGCGUGCAGGAUGAAGGCCUUCGGGUUGUAAACUGCUUUUGUACGGAACGAAAAGCCUUCUUUUAAUACAGGAGGGUCAUGACGGUACCGUAAGAAUAAGCACCGGCUAACUACGUG